GGUGGGCUACACACGUCAUACAAUGGCCGGGUACAAAGGGUUGCCAAGCCGCGAGGUGGAGCUAAUCCCAUAAAACCGAUCAUAGUCCGGAUCGCAGUCUGCAACUCGACUGCGUGAAGUCGGAAUCGCUAGUAAUCGUGAAUCAGAACGUCACGGUGAAUACGUUCCCGGGCCUUGUACACACCGCCCGUCACACCAUGGGAGUGGGUUGCUCCAGAAGUAGCUAGUCUAACCGCAAGGGGGACGGUUACCACGGUGUGGCCGAUGA
rnacentral:rRNA from 1 species